rnacentral:rRNA from 1 species
UACGUAGGGGGCAAGCGUUAUCCGGAUUUACUGGGUGUAAAGGGAGCGUAGACGGCAGUGCAAGUCUGAAGUGAAAUGCAUGGGCUCAACUCAUGAACUGCUUUGGAAACUGUACAGCUAGAGUACCGGAGGGGUAAGCGGAAUUCCUGGUGUAGCGGUGAAAUGCGUAGAUAUCAGGAGGAACACCGGUGGCGAAGGCGGCUUACUGGACGGAAACUGACGUUAAGGCUCGAAAGCGUGGGGAGCAAACAGG